rnacentral:rRNA from 1 species
UACGUAGGGGGCAAGCGUUGUCCGGAAUCAUUGGGCGUAAAGCGCGUGUAGGCGGUUCGGUAAGUCUGCUGUGAAAGUCCAGGGCUCAACCCUGGGAUGCCGGUGGAUACUGUCGGGCUAGAGUGCGGAAGAGGCGAGUGGAAUUCCCGGUGUAGCGGUGAAAUGCGCAGAUAUCGGGAGGAACACCAAUUGCGAAGGCAGCUCGCUGGGACGUAACUGACGCUGAGACGCGAAAGCGUGGGGAGCGAACAGG